GAUGAACGCUGGCGGCGUGCUUAACACAUGCAAGUCGAACGAAGCAUUUGCGACAGAUUUUUUCGGAAUGAAGUUGCUUAUGACUGAGUGGCGGACGGGUGAGUAACGCGUGGGUAACCUGCCUUGUACUGGGGGAUAGCAGCUGGAAACGGCUGGUAAUACCGCAUAAGCGCACAAUGUUGCAUGACAUGGUGUGAAAAACUCCGGUGGUAUAAGAUGGACCCGCGUCUGAUUAGCUAGUUGGUGAGAUAACAGCCCACCAAGGCGACGAUCAGUAGCCGACCUGAGAGGGUGACCGGCCACAUUGGGACUGAGACACGGCCCAGACUCCUACGGGAGGCAGCAGUGGGGAAUAUUGCACAAUGGAGGAAACUCUGAUGCAGCGACGCCGCGUGAGUGAAGAAGUAAUUCGUUAUGUAAAGCUGUAUCAGCAGGGAAGAUAGUGACGGUACCUGACUAAGAAGCUCCGGCUAAAUACGUG
rnacentral:rRNA from 1 species